rnacentral:rRNA from 1 species
GGAUGAUGUGGAUUAAUCGAUGCAACGCGAAGAACCUUACUACCCUUGACAUGUCCGGAACUUGCCAGAGAUGGCUUGGUGCCCGAAAGGGAACCGGAACACAGGUGCUGCAUGGCUGUCGUCAGCUCGUGUCGUGAGAUGUUGGGUUAAGUCCCCGCAACGAGCGCAACCCUUGUCCUUAGUUGCUACGCAAGGGCACUCUAAGGAGACUGCCGGUGACAAACCGGAGAAGGUGGGGAUGACGUCAAGUCCUCAUGGCCCUUAUGGGUAGGGCUUCACACGUCAUACAAUGGUCGGUACAGAGGGUUGCCAAGCCGCGAGGUGGAGCCAAUCCCACAAAGCCGAUCGUAGUCCGGAUUGUUCUCUGCAACUCGAGAGCAUGAAGUCGGAAUCGCUAGUAAUCGCAGGUCAGCAUACUGCGGUGAAUACGUUCCCGGGUCUU